rnacentral:rRNA from 1 species
UGGGGAAUCUUGCGCAAUGGGCGAAAGCCUGACGCAGCGACGCCGCGUGAGGGAAGAAGGCUCUCGGGUUGUAAACCUCUUUCAGGAGGGACGAAGCCACUCGGGUUAAUAGCCCAGAGGGUGACGGUACCUCCAGAAGAAGCCCCGGCUAACUACGUGCCAGCAGCCGCGGUAAUACGUAGGGGGCAAGCGUUGUCCGGAUUUAUUGGGCGUAAAGAGCGUGUAGGCGGCCAGGCAGGUCCGUUGUGAAAACUGGAGGCUCAACCUCCAGACGUCGAUGGAAACCGCUUGGCUAGAGUCCGGAAGAGGAGAGUGGAAUUCCUGGUGUAGCGGUGAAAUGCGCAGAUAUCAGGAAGAACACCCGUGGCGAAAGCGGCUCUCUGGGACGGUACUGACGCUGAGACGCGAAAGCGUGGGGAGCGAACA